UACGGAGGAUGCGAGCGUUAUCCGGAAUCACUGGGUUUAAAGGGUGCGUAGGCGGGUUAUUAAGUCAGAGGUGAAAUCUGGUCGCUUAACGAUCAAACUGCCUUUGAAACUGAUAGUCUUGAAAUAUGGUGAGGUUGGCGGAAUGUGACAUGUAGCGGUGAAAUGCAUAGAUAUGUCAUAGAACACCAAUUGCGAAGGCAGCUGACUGGCCAUUAUUUGACGCUGAGGCACGAAAGCGUGGGGAGCGAACAGG
rnacentral:rRNA from 1 species